rnacentral:rRNA from 1 species
GAUUGCCCUAGUAACGGCGAGUGAAGCGGCAACAGCUCAAAUUUGAAAUCUGGCUCCUUCCGGAGUCCGAGUUGUAAUUUGUAGAGGGUGCUUUGGCGUCGGCCAUGGUCUAAGUUCCUUGGAACAGGACGUCACAGAGGGUGAGAAUCCCGUACGUGGCCGCUGGCCUUCGCCAUGUAAAGCCCCUUCGACGAGUCGAGUUGUUUGGGAAUGCAGCUCUAAAUGGGAGGUAAAUUUCUUCUAAAGCUAAAUAUUGGCCAGAGACCGAUAGCGCACAAGUAGAGUGAUCGAAAGAUGAAAAGCACUUUGGAAAGAGAGUCAAAAAGCACGUGAAAUUGUUGAAAGGGAAGCGCUUGCAGCCAGACUUGCCCGUAGUUGCUCAUCCAGGUUUCGGCCUGGUGCACUCUUCUGCGGGCAGGCCAGCAUCAGUCCAGGCGGUCGGAUAAAGGUCCCGGGAAUGUGGCUCUCUUCGGGGAGUGUUAUAGCCCGGGGCGCAAUGCGGCCAGCUUGGACUGAGGUCCGCGCAUCUGCUAGGAUGCUGGCGUAAUGGCUGUAAGCGGCCCGUCUUGAAACACGGACCAAGGAGUCUAACAUCUAUGCGAGUGUUUGGGUGUCAAGCCCGAGCGCGCAAUGAAAGUGAACGGAGGUGGGAACCCGCAAGGGCGCACCAUCGACCGAUCCUGAUGUCUUCGGAUGGAUUUGAGUAAGAGCAUAGCUGUUGGGACCCGAAAGAUGGUGAACUAUGCCUGAAUAGGGUGAAGCCAGAGGAAACUCUGGUGGAGGCUCGCAGCGGUUCUGACGUGCAAAUCGAUCGUCAAAUUUGGGCAUAGGGGCGAAAGACUAAUCGAACUAUCUAGUAGCUGGUUCCUGCCGAAGUUUCCCUCAGGAUAGCAGUAACGUUUUCAGUUUUAUGAGGUAAAGCGAAUGAUUAGAGGCCUGGGGGUUGAAACAACCUUCACCUAUUCUCAAACUUUAAAUAUGUAAGAAGUCCUUGUUACUUAAUUGAACGUGGACAUUUGAAUGUACCGUUACUAGUGGGCCAUUUUUGGUAAGCAGAACUGGCGAUGCGGGAUGAACCGAACGCGGGGUUAAGGUGCCAGAAUGCACGCUCAUCAGACACCACAAAAGGUGUUAGUUCAUCUAGACAGCAGGACGGUGGCCAUGGAAGUCGGAAUCCGCUAAGGAGUGUGUAACAACUCACCUGCCGAAUGAACUAGCCCUGAAAAUGGAUGGCGCUCAAGCGUGCUACCCAUACCCCGCCGCCAGGGCACAUAUUAUGCCCUGGCGAGUAGGCAGGCGUGGAGGCUUGUGACGAAGCCU